UCCUGGUUAGCCCAGUUGGUAGAGCGCUCCACUGGAAAUGGAGAGGUACCUCUGGUUCAAUACGAGGACCAGGCG
rnacentral:tRNA from 2 species